AUUGAAACACUGGUUCGCGUACGAUACCCAACGUUAAGUAAUGUGGUGCCUGGACUGUACCUAAAUGGGUGACCGCUUGGGAAGGCCAGGUGCUGUAAG